GCCUACGGGCGGCAGCAGUGGGGAAUAUUGGACAAUGGGCGAAAGCCUGAUCCAGCCAUGCCGCGUGUGUGAAGAAGGCCUUCGGGUUGUAAAGCACUUUCAGUGGGGAAGAAAGCCUUGGGGCUAAUACCCUCGAGGAAGGACAUCACCCACAGAAGAAGCACCGGCUAACUCCGUGCCAGCAGCCGCGGUAAUACGGAGGGUGCGAGCGUUAAUCGGAAUUACUGGGCGUAAAGCGCGCGUAGGCGGUCUGAUAAGCCGGUUGUGAAAGCCCCGGGCUCAACCUGGGAACGGCAUCCGGAACUGUCAGGCUAGAGUGCAGGAGAGGAAGGUAGAAUUCCCGGUGUAGCGGUGAAAUGCGUAGAGAUCGGGAGGAAUACCAGUGGCGAAGGCGGCCUUCUGGACUGACACUGACGCUGAGGUGCGAAAGCGUGGGUAGCAAACAGGAUUAGAUACCCUAGUAGUC
rnacentral:rRNA from 1 species